GAAGUUUUGGUUUAACAGGAUAACGUUCUACUUUGUUGUAUGAUUAAGUCGAGAUUACAGUAAGAUUAGAGUCUUCUGCUUGUUAUAUAUAUCUGGCUGUAUGUAUGUAUGUGUGUUUUCUUCUUCAUAACAUGAAGAAGUAUAUGGCUAAUGAUCAAUUCAUAUGGGUGAGAUCUUGAAUGAAUAUUUUCUACUUAGGAAUUUGGGAAUUUAACUCGUGUUAAUUUGAUAUUUGAUGGGAUUUAGUGAGAUCAUUGAUUAAGAUGAUGCUGGACCUUGGAACGUUUUGGCAUUGAAAGGAUGAAUUUCUUUAGGUGGGUAUGAGAAAUUGUGUUGGAAUAUUUUUGGGGGGUAGAGAUCAAGGCAAGUGGUUUGUUUGUGUGUAUAAGAUUUGAGAAUCAAAUUUGGGCUGUUGGUAUGAAUGGAUUUCACUGUUUGGGAAGUGAUUGGGGUUUAAUUUUGGUAUUGUUCUUUGAUUGGGCGGCGUGGAAACUGAGACUUGAAGGGAAAGAUAGAAAAGAAAAUUUAUUUAGUGCUUGGUGUUGGAUGGGAAUGUGGUUUGAUACUUAAACUAGAAUACAGGUAAGGGAGGUGAGCUCAGUUGGGUAGAAUUAAGUUGGGUAGAUUUUUAUCUGCAUGUGGGUAAAGAUUUUAUUGCUUAAGGAUCUGGGUCCAAGUGGAUGACGAAUGGAUCGUGAUCUAAUUCUAUUUUCUUAUCAGAAUUGAAAUGAGGAAGAGGGAAUCUUUCUAAUAUCUUGGUUUCUUGCUCCUUUUUUCUGUUUCUGACAAUUCCUAGCUGACAACCUUAGAAAAUUGAAAACAACUUCUUGCUUAGAGACUCGAAUCGAGCAUUUUAUGUCAAGCUGAAGACAUGAUUUGUUUUUUCUGAUGAAGGAAAACACAAUGUUUGGAUGGACAAUAUUGACUAAUCUUGAUUUCUUUGAAGCUAGUUCUUAUUUUGCCCCUAUAAAAUUUAUCUGAUACUUCAAAAAAAAAAAAAAAAAAAAAAAACUCAAUUGGUGAAAGAAGGUGGUUUGCGUGACUUGUUAAAUUGAACGUGAGUAUGGCUCUGUCCACUACCGAUUUGUCAGCUUCUCCUUAAAAAUCCUUCUCUGCCUCUUCAAGUAUAAAUAAAUUGUGAAAGAUAGCAAAGACUUGAGCAAGCACUAGCUGCCUUUGGGUUAAAAAUAGCUGGUAAUCCCAAGUUCCAUGUUUGGAGGAGUGGGUGAUGCAAUAAACAAAAACGGUUUUUCCCUCUAGUCCUACCUCCACCGUGGCUUCUAGCUAUACAUGCAGACACCUUUUGAGCUGUCUGUUUGAUUAUAAACUGUGAAACUUAUGAAAUAUUUGUGCACUGAAUUGAAGAAAAUGGAAGUUCCCAAGAAGUCUGUUUGCUUUCUAGUGCUUUUCUCAUUCUUGGAAUUUCUGGGUCAAAAGGAGUCGGUGGAGCUGGUGAAUGCAGUAAGGUUUCCCGAGACAGAGAAGCAUGGAAGCUGGCUCCUUGUGCAAUUGCAGCACAGGAUAAGAGAGCUCCAGUUUCAGACAGUUGCUGCUAACAGGUGAAGAAAAUUGGCCAAAAUCCAAGCUGUCUUGAUGCUGUUAUGCUUUCUAAUACAGCUAGGAAUUACGGAAUUAAGCCAGACGUCGCAGUGACCAUUUCCAAAUGUUGCAAAUUAGUUGAUCAUCCCACUGGUUACAAGUGUGGAGCUUACGUGUUACCUUGAGUCCAUGGAGCUUCUGGUUGCUAUCAUCAGCAGUAUCAGUGGGCUGAUUCUGCAAUGUUGUAGCAAGGUCUGUAACUGUCUAGCAGUAUGAAGCUUCUUGCCAUAUACAUUAACAAAAAUAACAUUGUUGUUCAUCGCUACUUUUUAACUUUGCAAUCAAAA